GCUCCCGUAGCUCAAUUGGAUAGAGCGACGGCCUUCUAAGCCGUAGGUUACAGGUUCGAUCCCUGUCGGGAGUA
rnacentral:tRNA from 1 species